AGGCCCUCCCUCAAGGUCACCACCUACACUCCCGUUGCAUGCUGGGAUUGUAGUCCUGCAGCCCUGCGACUAACAGCUGGAAGCACCUAAGACACUACCCUAGUCAGCAUGCCCGGCAGGAGCGCACCACGCUGUGUCUCCCUCCUGGGAUCCGCACUGCCCUACAAUCCUGGUUUGUGCCGAGAUUGUAGUCCUGCAGGCCUACAACUAACAGGCUGGGUACGGAUAAGAGACUACAGCUCCCCGCAUCCCAAGCAAAAGUCCCCCCUCUACCGAGCGCCUCCACGCGUCCACUGCGGUUCCGCAGUGCCAAGGGGAGCUUGGCUGUUCACAGGCCUCUCUUGCCAGAGAGAAGAUAGCUUGGCCGGGCGGCUGAUUUCACCUGGUAAAUCUGACACUGUGUCUCCCCAGCUUGUCAGCUUCAUGACUUGUGCCCAAAGUUUGAUUUCUUGCAGACCAGGAGGACCCAUUGGACCCCCGGGCUGGCUGCAGGGCCCACACCUGGGUCAGGCCUUGCACAGGGACGCUCCUGCCACUGUAAUAAAGCGUGCCUACACGCUUCUGAAACUGGUGUAGGCACAACCUCACUUCUGUGAAAGCAGACGCAGCAGGACAGAAUCUCCGUGGACAUCUGUCUGGAGGAGCAAUUUUACUGCGACGUCUUAAAGAAACAAAUUUAAUUGAUUUCCAAGGCUAGAGUGUGACAAAAAUCUAGAAGAUCAACUUCAUUGUGCAGGAAGGAGCAUAGAAAAAUGAAGAAAAGAAGAGAGAAGAAAACAGCAAAUCAUUCUGAGUACUGUGGAAACAAACUGAAAAUGGGCUUAGAAAGAAAGCAGAGUAAGAAGGUCGGAAUAGUCCCAGGGACUCCAAUUGCCGAGAUGGGAAAACCACCCAGGUGGGAUGGGAGAUUGAGGCCACAGGGAAUCACUAUCACAUGCCUCUGCUGGACCUGAAUGGUACUAGUGCUGGCUAGAGCCAUCUGGUUGACCUUAGACAUGUCAAGGCAGGAGCCAUCUGAUCGACCUUAGACUUCGCAAGCUGGUGGCUAAGUCCAGUGUUCACUGCCGACAUCUGUCUCAAAAUAAAAAGUUCGACAGUGAAUAUUUAACAAUAACAAAAAUAUAAUACCAAACAAUAUUAAAGACCAAUAAAUAAGUGGGAGUGAACAAAGGUAAAUUGACCAUACAUACAUAU